CACGUAGGGGGCGAGCGUUGUCCGGAAUCAUUGGGCGUAAAGAGCUCGUAGGCGGCUCAGUAAGUCGGGUGUGAAACCCCCAGGCUCAACCUGGGGACGCCACCCGAUACUGCUGUGGCUAGAGUCCAGUAGGGGAGUGUGGAAUUCCCGGUGUAGCGGUGAAAUGCGCAGAUAUCGGGAGGAACACCAGCGGCGAAGGCGGCACUCUGGGCCGGUACUGACGCUGAGGAGCGAAAGCGUGGGGAGCGAACAGG
rnacentral:rRNA from 1 species